AGUCGUAAAUUGGCGCACAUCUGCAGAUGGCCACGGAUUCCCGUAUCCACUUCUCACCCAGUUACCGUUUUCCCCUUUUUCUUGGCCAUCUUCGCCGAGAUACGCAUAGAAUAUUAAUCUCUUUGCGCAUUAACUUAAAUGAAAUGACGCAAUGGCGAUAAGCGAACCGGACACAGUGGGUCGCAGGGGAAUAUUGGGUGCUCAAAUCUGGGAAAUACCAGGAAAGCAGCUGGAGAGUUCAUUUCCUAUCUCACUUAUCCUAAAAUUUCCGAAAUUAGGAAACGGUAUUUAUCUUAAUUUUCAAAUUUGUU
ensembl:ncRNA lncRNA:CR45903 long non-coding RNA:CR45903